UACGAAGGGGGCUAGCGUUGCUCGGAAUCACUGGGCGUAAAGGGUGCGUAGGCGGGUCUUUAAGUCAGGGGUGAAAUCCUGGAGCUCAACUCCAGAACUGCCUUUGAUACUGAAGAUCUUGAGUCCGGGAGAGGUGAGUGGAACUGCGAGUGUAGAGGUGAAAUUCGUAGAUAUUCGCAAGAACACCAGUGGCGAAGGCGGCUCACUGGCCCGGUACUGACGCUGAGGCACGAAAGCGUGGGGAGCGAACCGG
rnacentral:rRNA from 1 species